CGUGUUUGUUCUUCCUGUGAAGCAGAAGAGGUGAGGCACGUGAAGGUGUGACGCACAUCCUGCAAAUCCAAUGCAAAUGCAGAUAAGAAAGGACUGCAAACUUGGUCUACAUCCAACAGUAUUCGUGAAUCUGAGGUGAAGGUGGAGCUGCUGAUAGAUGAAAAUUGGUGUAUCUUUACUGCGAACGAGGAUAAAAGCGGAGUAUACCUUUUAACAAGAACCAAAUUGAAUAUGAUACUCACCUCAUUGGAAUCUGUAGUAUAUGGAAAAGAGUGAAAGAAAGAGAAGGGAACUGUGUGAGCGUUGCGAGAGGAGAAUUGAUACGACAAUUCGUGCUUCGCUUAUCCACGGUACACUUGAAGCGAAGGACGCCCAAGCCAUAGAGAGACGGGAGACGCGUAGACCGCUGAUAGAGGGGAAUCGGUGUUACUGCGGGGAUUAGUGGUCGACUGUGAACAGCAUGCUGCUUAAGUUGUACGCGAAGGCCACGAUUGUGCGACUGUUACAACGCUGACGCGUGUAGAGCCGAGCAUUGCGGUGAUAGUAGUCUCGAAAGUGAGCAGCAUUUAUACAAGAAAACGUACUCAUUGAGUAUAUCCGGACAUUCGACGAACGUUGAGUGCAUUGUGAUUUGGUACAAUUUCUUGGAAAAUAUGGAUGUGAAUGACCCAAUCGCAAUUUCGCAGAAACGACUAGCGU